AUGCAACGGCAGCGCUUCGGGUCUGACGAAGGGCCGGGAAGAAACCCCGCCGAGGAGAGGAGGCUCAAGAGACCCGCGACCGAGUCCGAGGAGACCGGCGACGACGACGAACUGCCCCCGGGAACCAGGAGGAAGAUGAAGGACACGCAGCAGAAGACGAGGCCGAGCGGCAGCACCGCCGCCGGCGCAGGCGCAGGCACGGCGUCGUCGGCGUCCUCCGUCCGCGCCGUGCUGCAGGACUUCCUGGAGCAGCAGCAGCGCCUGGACGCGCAGCGGCAGGAGGCGGCGGCGCGGCACGCGCAGGAGCGGCUGGCCUUGGAGCAGCAGUGGCGGCAGGAGAUGCAGAGGCUGGAGCGGGAGCGGCUGAUGCUGGAGCAGGCGUGGCGGGAGCGCGAGGAGCAGAGGAGGAUGAGGGAGGAGGCCAGGGCCGAGAGGAGGGACGCGCUCCUCACCAACCUGCUCAACAAACUCUUGCGCGAUGACUUUUAG
rnacentral:rRNA from 1 species